CUGCAGUGAGCCUCACUCUCUUCAUUCAUCCUUGGGUUGUACAUUCCUUUUUCUCUUAAAGAAGUUCUAAUAUUUUCUUUGUUGUCUUCAUAAUACUUUUAACAGAACAUGACCCCAGAGUUGAAGGCAGUAAAGAGUCGGUCAACAUCUGUCCUAGGGAAGAAUGACUGGAUUUCCCUGUGCUAGAAUUUCUAUAGAAGGGGUCCACCUGGAGAACAUGCUCACCCUCUCCCAUGGAACCUUUGAUUCUGUGGCAGUGCCCUGUGUGUAUGGGCCACUCUUCACUGCCACUCCAACAAGCAGCAAGGUUUCCAGGGCAGCAGAUUGCUUCUAGCAAACACCACUAACACCUUCCCAGGACUCCAACAACCAGCAGAACAACAACAAAGAAAACUUUUAUUAGCAGAGAGAAAAUAAGACGGAUAAUCCUUGCCUUCCUGGAGGUUCUGUAAGUCAGACUGGCCUGCCCUGUGAGGACAGCAUUCUUUCCUCUUUAUCUUCUUUAAUGACUGCUCUGCUAAUCACACCUGACUCCUGUUAUCAAUCCUGUGGUUGUAUCUUUUCAGGGUUUUUACUGUGGUCAGAGGUUUCCAGAUACUCUAUUAUUAUUAUGAAAAAGAAGCAUUGUCAUUAUCGGACCUAACUUGGGACACAGAACAAUGAACAAUUUUUCAAAAGGAAGGAAUCUAGCAGAUAUUCAGCUCUUGUAUCUUUUUACUUUGCAUCCUGAGAAAAGGCAUCUACCUCGGUGACAGGAAUUCAAGGGAAAAAAAAAAAAACCCUGAAAAACAGACACAGA
rnacentral:lncRNA from 1 species